rnacentral:lncRNA from 1 species
CUAGAUAGGAUGCUCCCUUUUUACAACAGAAGCCUGCUUGGAGCCGAUCCCAAGGUGCCCAUGCACCUGAGUCAUGGCCAGUUGUUCUCAGCCUCCUAGGACAUGGCCAAGUCACUGCUCACCCCCACUGUUAUAGCUGCUGCUUUCAUUUGUCUCUGUCUACCCCUCCUAAUUACUUAGGUCACUUCAGACUUUAAUUCUGUCUUCUAAAGUGUAACACAGCCAUAAUUAGGCCAUAUGUUAAUUAGCAAAAUGACGUCUUGUCACUCGUGAGAGAUGUGGAUCAUCCCAGAAAGUACCAUAGAAAGGGCAGUUCAGCAGGAAGAGAAAGUCUAAGGAGGCUGAAGUGACUAUCUAGCUGAAACCACCUUAGAGAGCAGGGGAAAAUGGCAGGAUGCAAGAGGGCAAAAGGAUGGGGUCGCACAAAGAAAAAGAGCUAGAAUUGACCUCUUUUCCACUCCAGGAAUGAGAUGUAAGCCGGGAGACAAGCCUGAGGCCGAAAAGCCACCCGGGAUGGCAGAAUCUUCUGAAGGACUGGAGGCGGCCAGGGCUGAGGUCAAGGCCCCGAUGGAGGCUACAGGCAAGGUGGAUGGAAAAGAGACCAAGAAAAAAAAAUAAGUGGCUUGGUGACCUAACUUUACCCAGAGAAUGGAAAAUAAAAUGCAAGACUCCAAACCCUGCCCUUCUAUUUCAUCCUCAUUUUGGAAAAAUACAGGAAAAGGUGGGCUUUUUUGCCUUCCUACCAUGGACGAGGAUCUUGAAGGAGAAACUUGGCAGACCUUUUCCAUUCCCUGGGGCUUCGGCCAGGCAGUAGAGGAUGAAGGAGGACAUACAUGCCAGUGAGUAACAGUCCUCAAGUACAAAUAGCAGGGGUCCUGUCAUUGCUUCCUGAGAUUAGCUCCUGGUUUUCAGUAGGAUGGAUUUAUUUGGACAAGGGUUGAAAACCAUGUCUCAGAAUUACACAAAAAUGAUGCCUUUGAUAGAAAAGCGAUGAGAUCCUUCUGAGUUUUGUCUCAGUAACUGUAAUUUUUACAAAAAGAAUAUUUGGAGGUGAGGCAGGAAUAUCCUGCAAAAGAAAAGCAUAACGUCAUACACUACUCUGGCUGUUUAUUUCCUCACAACUACAUGUCCAGAGGCACGCUUUUGGGAAGAGAGAAACUGAUUUUAGCUGCUCAUCCUUAUAUGUGGUAUUCUAAUCGGCUAUCACUCACAGUAAACUUUUGACUGCACUUGUGCACUUUUUGCAAAAGAAAUUGGGUUGUGCUGUGUUUAUUUUCUUUUGAAAGUGGUGUCUUCUCAAUGACAAAUGUAUCUAUCAAGAUGAAAACUUUUCAUUGUUAAGCAGAAAAUGCUAUGUUGGCUAUACAAAUUAGUUCGUAUUUAAUUGCUUGUCUUCAGUGGUCUUGAUAAAUAAGUGUUUCUCCCUUGGAAACCUAUUUUACACAAAGUGCAGAUCCUUGAUGAGUGGCUGAUGG